CGAAUAAAUUGUCCAAGUUUAGUAAUUUCAGUUGCUAGUUUGUCUUGAGAAAGAACUUCGGCGCACCUCAUUGUGUUAAAUGAUUUCUAGGUGUUUUGAGAAGCUCUUCGUUAAGCUGUUGAGAUGUUGAGCUGUGGAUUCCAGACUGAUAUACGGGGAGGCAUGGUGGUUAGUGUUCCCUGGAUAUCUUCGCAAAGAUGGUCGUGAAGCCAAGAUAACUUUCGAUUGAAGUCCGCAAAGUCUUGAUGAUCAGAAAUGGUUCAGAAAGUUACCAGGACAUAAGCUGUCAUAAAAUCUUAAGGGCUUGUUAAUCCUUUGCUGAACAAUCCUGGCCUGCUUGCCUCGUUAACGUUUGCUUUGAAGAGACUUCUGCGAGGUCGUUCCUGUGGACUUUUCUAUGUGGUUUUGGUCACCCAGCUUGAUUUACUUUGGUUGCUAUGGUCAAAAGUUUUAGAGCAGAGGUUCUUAACCUUUUGGCGACUCCAGACCCACAAAGAAUUGCAUAUGAUUCCAUAUCCCAUUUGCUCAAGUCCAUCCAAGUCUAUUUGUUGACAAGAAAACUUAAUGUACGUGGUUUAACUAUAUGAAUGAUGAAAGAAUCCUGCUAGAGAAAGAACAUUGUUGAUUUUUACUUGUUUCAUUCAUGAAAGUUCAGAAUAGGACCCAAGUCGCUUUAAAGUAUGGAAUGACACUUCUAAUUCAUAAAUUAUCACUGUACCCAUGCAACAUUGACAAUUUUAGUUCAACUCGUACAAGUAUCCAGAUAUAGUACCAUACACCAGCAUAUGGUCCUUAUUUAGAACUAUUCAGAAUUGAGUUUCAUCAUGGCCACGAAAAAAUUGUACAAUUAAGUGGCUGAACGGUUUUUGUAUAUUGUUUUUUAUACUGAAAAUGUGACCGUUAAUUUAAAAUUGACAGAUUUACAGGAAAUUAGUUUAACUUUGUUAAAGUGUUAGCUUAUAUUACUUUUAAUCAGUGGUGUUUGGAGAUUGGGUAGCAAUAUUGUUCAGUGU